UUCUCAGAGCCUCUUACCACAGCAACAGAAAGUGCCAGCGUCCCCACCUUGGUUCUGCCGUUCUCAUCCCUGGUGAGACUCCCAGAAGUGAAAACAGCAACUCCUUCCAUCCCCACCACAGAAAGUGGUAACUCCUGCGCGUGCAUGGGAGAGCUUGCCCGGGCCUCCCACUAGAGCACUGGUGACACCAUCUAGCAGAAUCUACCAUGCUCCACCAAAUCGGCACCAGUCAGCAGGAGCCACAAGAACCAGCAGGAAUACCAGGAGAAGCUCUCUGCCUUGCCUCUCUCACCAAAGUGAACGUCAGUGAGACCAACGAAGCGUUGCACAGCUAACUAUGCAAAUGCAUUAUAACUGCCCAUUCAGCCUAUACUCUCUCCAAAUGCCAUGUGUCAUCUCACAGUGUUCCUGUACAACCCACUCUGGCCCAGAACUAACAGUCUUCCUGCCUGUUUCCCAGAGCUGGAUCUCUGAUGUGUGUCAGUACACAGGGUAAUUGCUGUGCAACAAACUCCUUUCUGUGCUCGAAGUGUGGCUGCCACGUCUCUCAUGUGUCCAUCAGCUGUUCACGUUGUC